GACGUAGGGCGCGAGCGUUGUCCGGAUUUAUUGGGCGUAAAGAGCUCGUAGGCGGCUUGUUGCGUCGACCGUGAAAACCCGGGGCUCAACUUCGGGCUUGCGGUCGAUACGGGCGGGCUAGAGUUCGGUAGGGGAGACUGGAAUUCCCGGUGUAGCGGUGAAAUGCGCAGAUAUCGGGAGGAACACCGGUGGCGAAGGCGGUUCUCUGGGCCUUACCUGACGCUGAGGAGCGAAAGCGUGGGGAGCGAACAGG
rnacentral:rRNA from 1 species